rnacentral:rRNA from 1 species
GCGAACGCUAGCGGCGGGCUUAACACAUGCAAGUCGAGCGGAGGGGCAACCCUUAGCGGCGAACGGGUGAGUAACGCGUAGGUAACGUGCCUUCAGGUGGGGAACAACCGUGGGAAACCAUGGCUAAUACCGCAUAAUGUCGAAAGAUGAAAGCCUUCGGGCGCCUGGAGAGCGGCCUGCGUCCCAUUACCUAGUUGGUAGGGUAACGGCCUACCAAGGGAGCGAUGGGUAGCUGGUCUAAGAGGAUGAUCAGCCACACUGGAACUGAGACACGGUCCAGACUCCUACGGGAGGCAGCAGUGGGGAAUAUUGCGCAAUGGGGGAAACCCUGACGCAGCCACGCCGCGUGAGUGAAGAAGGCCUUCGGGUCGUAAAGCUCUGUCGGGAGAGACGAAGGGGUAACCCUGACGGUAUCUCGCAAGAAAGCACCGGCUAACUCUGU